rnacentral:rRNA from 1 species
AGAGUUUGAUCCUGGCUCAGAUUGAACGCUGGCGGCAUGCCUUACACGUGCAAGUCGAACGGCAGCACGGAGCUUGCUCUGGUGGCGAGUGGCGAACGGGUGAGUAAUAUAUCGGAACGUACCCUAGAGUGGGGGAUAACGUAGCGAAAGUUACGCUAAUACCGCAUACGAUCUAAGGAUGAGAGUGGGGGAUCGCAAGACCUCAUGCUCGUGGAGCGGCCGAUAUCUGAUUAGCUAGUUGGUAGGGUAAAAGCCUACCAAGGCAUCGAUCAGUAGCUGGUCGGAGAGGACGACCAGCCACACUGGAACUGAGACACGGUCCAGACUCCUACGGGAGGCAGCAGUGGGGAAUUUUGGACAAUGGGCGAAAGCCUGAUCCAGCAAUGCCGCGUGAGUGAAGAAGGCCUUCGGGUUGUAAAGCUCUUUUGUCAGGGAAGAAACGGUGAGAGCUAAUAUCUCUUGCUAAUGACGGUACCUGAAGAAUAAGCACCGGCUAACUACGUGCCAGCAGCCGCGGUAAUACGUAGGGUGCAAGCGUUAAUCGGAAUUACUGGGCGUAAAGCGUGCGCAGGCGGUUUUGUAAGUCUGAUGUGAAAUCCCCGGGCUCAACCUGGGAAUUGCAUUGGAGACUGCAAGGCUAGAAUCUGGCAG